rnacentral:rRNA from 1 species
CUACGGGAGGCAGCAGUGGGGAAUUUUGGACAAUGGGGGCAACCCUGAUCCAGCCAUUCCGCGUGAGUGAAGAAGGCCUUCGGGUUGUAAAGCUCUUUCGGCAGGAACGAAACGGUGAGGGUUAAUACCCCUUAUCAAUGACGGUACCUGAAGAAGAAGCACCGGCUAACUACGUGCCAGCAGCCGCGGUAAUACGUAGGGUGCGAGCGUUAAUCGGAAUUACUGGGCGUAAAGCGUGCGCAGGCGGUUUUGUAAGACAGAUGUGAAAUCCCCGGGCUCAACCUGGGAACUGCGUUUGUGACUGCAAGACUCGAGUGUGGCAGAGGGGGGUGGAAUUCCACGUGUAGCAGUGAAAUGCGUAGAGAUGUGGAGGAACACCGAUGGCGAAGGCAGCCCCCUGGGUCAACACUGACGCUCAUGCACGAAAGCGUGGGUAGCAAACAGGAUUAGAUACCCCUGUAGUCCG